rnacentral:ribozyme from 1 species
UUUUUUUUUUUUUUUUUUUUUUUUUAUUUCAUGAUUUU